rnacentral:lncRNA from 1 species
UUGCUUCAAAAGUUCUAACCUCUAGAACUCGACUAGCCUCGUACCGAUCAAAUUUCUUCAAGAACCUGACCUCACCCUCUUAAAACCUCCUCUGAACUUCUAAUUCUCCUUCUUUAGGAUCCUUACAAUCCUUGUUAGGACCAAAUAAGACUUUGUCUUAAAUCCCAAAGCCUUGUCCUAAAACUAAGAUAGGUUGUAAGAAAGAAAGGAGAGCAACAGGAGAGAAAUUGAAAACCCCUCUUAGAUUCAUCGGAUACCCAG